AUUCCGUUACCACUGCACCGCGGUGGUGAACGCGACGCGAAGACGAUAUGAAAGUCGCAAGUCUGACUCGCGUCGGCGGUUAGAUAGAGCUGAUCUUUGACAAGUCGGUAGCGAUAGCUGAGAGGUGCGGGUUGUUGUCGUUGAAUCGGCAUCGACCCGGAUCUCUGACCAAGUAAGGAGCCAAUUGCUGGCCCGCGAGGGUUGGUGGUUGGUGCCAGACCGGUCAAAGUCUUUUGAGUUGAUGACCGAACAACGGCAAGUGUUGAACUCAACAAGAACCGCGGCGCGAGAGUGCCGUGGUGUAAUAAAAACUUGAAGGGUUUGAUUCUGGCUCAGAACGAACGUUGGCGGCGUGGAUUAGGCAUGCAAGUCGGGGGAAUGCCUCAGAUACUGACGGCCUCGAGGGAGGUAGGGGCAUGCGGAACUGUAGGUGGAGCGGUGAAAUGCGUUGAUAUCUACAGGAACUCCGGUGGCGAAGGCGGCGUGCUGGACCUCUUCUGACGCUGAGGCGCGAAAGCUAGGGGAGCAAACGGGAUUAGAUACCCCGGUAGUCCUAGCCCUAAACGAUGGGUACUAGAUAGUAGGCUAGAUAUGAGCUUACUGUCGAAGUUAAAAUGCUAAGUACCCCGCCUGGGGAGUAUGGUCGCAAGGCUGAAACUCAAAGAAAUUGACGGGGGCUCACACAAGCGGUGGAGCAUGUGGCUUAAUUCGAGGCUACGCGAAGAACCUUAUCCUGGACUUGACAUGUGCGAAAGCGCUCGGUAGUAGGAGCCGGAAACGGUAACGAACCUCGCAAGAGGGAGCCGAGUACAGGUGCUGCAUGGCUGUCGUCAGCUCGUGUCGUGAGAUGUCGGGUUAAGUCCCAUAACGAGCGAAACCCUUACCUUUAGUUGCCACCCGCAAGGAGCACUCUAGAGGGACUGCCGGUGUUAAACCGGAGGAAGGCGGGGAUGACGUCAAGUCCUCAUGGCCUUUAUGUCCAGGGCUGCACACGUGCUACAAUGGUGCACACAAAGUGAAGCGACUGCGCGAGCAGGAGCCAAUCACAAAAAUUGCACCCCAGUUCAGAUCGUAGGCUGCAACUCGCCUACGUGAAGCCGGAAUCGCUAGUAAUCGCGGGUCAGCAACACCGCGGUGAAUGUGUUCCUGAGCCUUGUACACACCGCCCGUCAAGCCACGAAAGGGAGGGACGGCCGAAGUCCGCUUUGCCGCGGCCGACGCCGGACUUUCUGAUUGGGACUAAGUCGUAACAAGGUAACCGUAGGGGAACCUGCGGUUG
rnacentral:rRNA from 1 species